AGGUGGAGCACCCAUCCAGUGAGGCUGUGAGGAAGGCCAUAUACCAAGAAUAGGAGAAAGCUAGAAGGAGCCCAUAUCUCUGGCUGCCCUUGACUGCCCACGCAAGAACUCAUGCUGGAAAAAGAAAGCCCUGUUUAGGUCAACUCUACUGCAGUGAAAACAGCAGAGGCAGGAAUAUUUCAUCCACCAGAAAUUAACCUGCAGUCAGAGGUCAUUACUACCGAAGAAGGCUGAUUGUCUUUGUGGUUCCCACACUUUAGCCUGCGUUAGAAUCCUCUGUGGGACUUGGUAACACAAGGCCCCACCCUCAGAGUUUCUGAUUCAGAGGGUCUGGGGUGGGCCUGAGAAUCUGCAUUGCUAACAAAUUCCCAGAUGACGCUGAGUGAUGCUCCUGCGACCACAGUGAGAACCACAACUCUACAGCCAGUGCUCCAGCACACCGUGCCCCAUGCUGCCAUUUUCUUACUGGAUCAUUUUUACAUCACUCUUUCCCAAGACAACAUUUCUCUCAUGCAGCGCAGGCAGCCUGGGAGGUGGGGGCUGGUUCUGCAGGCCAGCGUUGUUCCUGAGCCCACAUCCUAAAAUGGGAAUUGGCAUCUCAGACAGGCUCCAGCUCUGUCCAAAUGCUCCAAGAUGCCUCAUGAGAGCAUUGUCCAACACUGGCCAACCAGGCUGUGCCAUUCACGCCUCCUAUGCCAGUUGGAAAUGCCAUUGAGAUGAGCAUCAGCCAGGAGGAGAGAGGCCAUCGUCCAGCUGUCAGAAGCCUGUGAACCAGAGGAACUCCAUCUUGAAUAGGAGCUGGUACAAUGAGGCUGAAACCUACUGGGCUGCAUUCCCAGAUGGUUAUGGCAUUCUAAGUCACAGGAUGAGAUAGGAGGUCAGCACAAAAUACAGGUCAUAAAGAUCUUGAUGAUAAAACAGUUUGCAGUAAAGAAGCCGGCCCAAACCCACCAAAACUAAGAUGGUGAUAAGAGUGACCUCUGGUCGGCUCAGUGCUAUACUCCCAGCAGCACAUGACAGUUAACAAAUGUCGUGGCAAUGACAGGAAGUUACCCUAUAUGGUCUAAAAAGGGAAGGCAUGAAUAAUCCACUGCUUGUUUGGCAUAUAAUCAAGACAUAACCAUAAAAAUGGGCAACCAACAGCCUUUGGGGCUGCUCUGUCUAUGGAGUAGCCAUUCUUUCAUUCCUUUACUUUCUUAAUAAACUUG